rnacentral:lncRNA from 1 species
AAUACAGUAGUUUGCCAAUUCCUAGUAAGUGAUAUAAGGAUUUUACCUAGAGAGGGAUAAUACAAUUGGGCGCAACCGACAACAGCGUCAGUGCUUUCGUUCAGAGGAUUUGUGUCCAAUCUUUCCAAAACAGAAGUACGAGAAGGAAUAGAAACCAACACAUUUGAAAGUUCAUCCUCAUCAUUCUCUUCCUCGUUGUUCAAAAAUUCACUGUUUUCGAAAUUAAGAUUUAGAUCUCUAGCCCAAGAUUCAAUAUCAACUACAUGUAAGCCGUUGGCAUGAUAUGCGAUUAAAGAAUACGGAGACUGAAUAUCUGGUUGUAAUACCAUAUAAGGGUUAUUGUUAGAAAGAUACAGUGAAUGAACUUGUGAAACAAUAAGUUUCAUAGAUGCUAAACCAUGAUCAUUAAGUUUAGACCAUCGUCCGCUAACUUCUGACACUAAGAGCAAAAGAUCAAGGCGACCCUCGGAACCACCAAUGGCGAGUACGUCAAUUGGGUUCAUACCAAAAGAAUAAAUAUCACAAUAGUCUUCAAUAAGCUCAUCAUCAGCUACAGCUGGUUGUAGAAGAAAGGGUCCUUGCAUAGAAGGUAUAAAUGAAAAAUCAUCUGGUCUACGAACAGAUACAUAAUCAGAUGAAUCAAAAAGUUCAGAGCUACCUUCGGAUAUAACAAAUGAGGUACUUAAAUCGUUUGCAAGUGCUGCUUCGCCUAAUAGUUUAGUAAUCCAAUGAACAUUUCUACGAUGAUUUUCCGCAUCAGCAUCGUCCUCUUUUUUAGUUAAAAUUAAUCUAAUUUGUUUCAAAACGUCUUGGGGUAUCAUUGCAUUUGCUGGCAUUACCGGGCAAACGCUAAAAACAUCUCCUCCUCGGGUCAGAAUAUAAAUUGUAAAUACCCCCCACCCUUGAGAAACAUUGCUAAAGCAAAAAGCGGUCGGUAUAUGCAAAUCUACAUCGGCAUCAAAUGAAUUGGAAGCCUGAUGCGUCAAUUUAAGAGGAAUCUCAUAAUCGGGCAUUAACACUCCAUUUCCAGCCUCAUAAAGCAAGAGUGAAGUUUCAGUUAAUACAACCAAAGAUCUUCCGGACUUCCCCAGUGGGUGAAAUCGAACGGAGACAAUUUGAGAAGAAGGAUUAAUAACUGCAACCGAACAAAUGGUAACCUCCGAUAAUUUUAAUGAGUUAGUCCCGUUUUCCUGGUGUUCUGAAUUUGAAAAAUUGUUAACAGAUUCACCAAAGUUUGAAACGGACUCUGCAAGUGGAUUUUGUUCAGAUAACUUUGAUCUCAAACCCAGUAUAACAAUUUUUGAUUUUCCUACCACUGCUAGAAAUCGGCCAUUUUUACUAAGGCAAAUCUGUUCAAUCAUAAAGUCUAAUUCUGGAUUAAAAAGUUUUUUGUAAAAAUUCUUAUGAGAUGCUUCAUUUUUAUGUUUUAAGAGUCGACAAUCCAAGCUUCUGACUUCUUGCCCCACAGCAACGUACAGAAACGACUCAAACGCGCAAAGAUGCUUGGGAAAAAUUUCCCAAUCCUCAGGAAUAGGUUUAAUCCAUCGUAGGGCAGGAUGCUUUUCCAAAAUGUCUGUCCAUGAUACCUCUUGAGACAUGAUGGUUGAUGCCAUUUUGUUAGUCUUCUGCGAGUAUUAAAUAAGGAGGAAGAAUGCGUCGCUAAAUAAAUGUAAAAAGUAAUACAUGUGUACUUUGAAUAUUAGAAUAUACCAUAAUUAUUUGUACCUAGCUUGUUAUAGGUAAAUUAAAAGAACCAGAUCUUUGGAGCCUUUUCCUCUUUCUAGCGAAAUGCAGCAUAUGGUGUAAUAGUGCUUGAAUGCUACUUCUUUUAAAAACAUUUAAAUGAUUUUAGUUUG